rnacentral:rRNA from 1 species
AAUCCUUUAACGAGGAUCUAUUGGAGGGCAAGUCUGGUGCCAGCGGCCGCGGUAAUUCCAGCUCCAAUAGCGUAUAUUAAAGUUGUUGUGGUUAAAAAGCUCGUAGUUGGAUCUCAGUUCGAGUCAGGCGGUCCACUUGCCAGUGGCUACUGCCUGACUGAACACUUUACCGAGUUGUCCUAUGGUGUUCUUCACCGAGCGUCAUAGGCGAUCGGUACGUUUACUUUAAAAAAAUUAGAGUGCUCAAAGCAGGCGUAACGCCCGAAUAAUGUUGCAUGGAAUAAUGGAAUAGGACCUCGGUUCUAUUUUGUUGGUCUUCGGAAUCAGAGGUAAUGAUCAAUAGGGACAGACGGGGACAUUCGUAUUGCGGCGCUAGAGGUGAAAUUCUUGGACCGUCGCAAGACGAACUAAAGCGAAAGCAUUUGUCAAGAAUGUUUUCAUUAAUCAAGAACGAAAGUUAGAGGUUCGAAGGCGAUCAGAUACCGCCCUAGUUCUAACCAUAAACGAUGCCAACCAGUAAUUCGUCUGAGUUCCUUAAAUGACUCGACGAGGGACUUCCGGGAAACCAAAGUCUUUCGGUUCCAGGGGAAGUAUGGUUGCAAAGCUGAAACUUAAAGAAAUUGACGGAAGGGCACCACCAGGAGUGGAGCCUGCGGCUUAAUUUGACCCAACACGGGAAAACUCACCCGGCCCGGACACUGGAAGGAUUGACAGAUUGAGAGCUCUUUCUUGAUUCAGUGGGUGGUGGUGCAUGGCCGUUCUUAGUUGGUGGAGUGAUUUGUCUGGUUAAUUCCGAUAACGAACGAGACUCUAGCCUACUAAAUAGAUCGUCGGCUUACAAACGCCGGCGAGACUUCUUAGAGGGACAGGCGGUGAUUCAACCGCACGAAACAGAGCAAUAACAGGUCUGUGAUGCCCUUAGAUGUCCGGGGCCGCACGCGCGCUACACUGAAGUGAUCAGCGUGCUUUUUCAACCUACUCUGUCAAGAGUGGGGAACCCAAUGAACCUUCUUCGUGAUUGGGAUAGGGGAUUGUAAUUAUUCCCCUUGAACGAGGAAUUCCCAGUAAGCGCGAGUCAUAAGCUCGCGUUGAUUACGUCCCUGCCCUUUGUACACACCGCCCGUCGCUACUACCGAUUGAAUGUUUUAGUGAGGUCUUCGGACUGGCCGGCGCAGCACUCUCGUAGUGCAGCGCUGUGUUUGGAAAGAUGCCCAAACUUGAACAUUUAGAGGAAGUAAAAGUCGUAACAAGGUUUCCGUAGGUGAACCUGCGGAAG